rnacentral:lncRNA from 13 species
ACGUUUAAUGAUUUGUCAACUGAUUUGCUGUGGCAAAAACAAUAAAACAAUACAAGCACCUCUGAGUGAAGGCAGCACAAAUGCCAACACCUAGUUCUGCAGAGGCAGUUCGGUGGUGGGGAUGGGAGUCACGUGAUAUGCUUCAGGUAUGUAAUUUCCAAUGAGCUAACUUAAUACAAGCAUGCAUACUGGAAAUUUUUGAACAUCAACAACAGAUCCAUUCUUCAUGCUUUCCCUCUUAGAAGUCAGCUGCAUCAACACUUUUGAAAGUACUUGAAUAGCAGAGAAAUCAAAUUUCAAGAAACUGAGUAGCAUAUAGUCCAUAUGUUUCACAUUAAAAGAAGAUCUACGCAGUCUAAAAUUAAUAUAGCUGAUGGUAUAGCUAAUGCUAAAAUUUGAAAGAAAAAAAAACCCAGUCCUGAUUGUGUUUAUUAUAUUAAUUAGAACUGUGCUU